rnacentral:rRNA from 1 species
GAUGAACGCUGGCGGCGUGCCUAAUACAUGCAAGUCGAGCGAACGGACGAGAAGCUUGCUUCUCUGAUGUUAGCGGCGGACGGGUGAGUAACACGUGGAUAACCUACCUAUAAGACUGGGAUAACUUCGGGAAACCGGAGCUAAUACCGGAUAAUAUUUUGAACCGCAUGGUUCAAAAGUGAAAGACGGUCUUGCUGUCACUUAUAGAUGGAUCCGCGCUGCAUUAGCUAGUUGGUAAGGUAACGGCUUACCAAGGCAACGAUGCAUAGCCGACCUGAGAGGGUGAUCGGCCACACUGGAACUGAGACACGGUCCAGACUCCUACGGGAGGCAGCAGUAGGGAAUCUUCCGCAAUGGGCGAAAGCCUGACGGAGCAACGCCGCGUGAGUGAUGAAGGUCUUCGGAUCGUAAAACUCUGUUAUUAGGGAAGAACAUAUGUGUAAGUAACUGUGCACAUCUUGACGGUACCUAAUCAGAAAGCCACGGCUAACUACGUGCCAGCAGCCGCGGUAAUACGUAGGUGGCAAGCGUUAUCCGGAAUUAUUGGGCGUAAAGCGCGCGUAGGCGGUUUUUUAAGUCUGAUGUGAAAGCCCACGGCUCAACCGUGGAGGGUCAUUGGAAACUGGAAAACUUGAGUGCAGAAGAGGGAAGUGGAAUUCCAUGUGUAGCGGUGAAAUGCGCAGAGAUAUGGAGGAACACCAGUGGCGAAGGCGACUUUCUGGUCUGUAACUGACGCUGAUGUGCAAAAGCGUGGGGAUCAAACAGGAUUAGAUACCCUGGUAGUCCACGCCGUAAACGAUGAGUGCUAAGUGUUAGGGGGUUUCCGCCCCUUAGUGCUGCAGCUAACGCAUUAAGCACUCCGCCUGGGGAGUACGACCGCAAGGUUGAAACUCAAAGGAAUUGACGGGGACCCGCACAAGCGGUGGAGCAUGUGGUUUAAUUCGAAGCAACGCGAAGAACCUUACCAAAUCUUGACAUCCUUUGACAACUCUAGAGAUAGAGCCUUCCCCUUCGGGGGGGCAAAGUGACAGGUGGUGCAUGGUUGUCGUCAGCUCGUGUCGUGAGAUGUUGGGUUAAGUCCCGCAACGAGCGCAACCCUUAAGCUUAGUUGCCAUCAUUAAGUUGGGCACUCUAAGUUGACUGCCGGUGACAAACCGGAGGAAGGUGGGGAUGACGUCAAAUCAUCAUGCCCCUUAUGAUUUGGGCUACACACGUGCUACAAUGGACAAUACAAAGGGCAGCGAAACCGCGAGGUCAAGCAAAUCCCAUAAAGUUGUUCACAGUUCGGAUUGUAGUCUGCAACUCGACUACAUGAAGCUGGAAUCGCUAGUAAUCGUAGAUCAGCAUGCUACGGUGAAUACGUUCCCGGGUCU